GCUACACAAAAGAGGCAUAGAGAAGCAGCAGUAAUUUCCAGGAUAAAAGAUUGGGUUUUGCCUUGACUCUAUGAAAUGUUAAAAUCUAUGUCUAGGAAGAAGAAAGAAGAAGCUUUUACUCAUCUAUGUUGGAGUCAAAUUAUCCAGGAAAGCAAAUGAGAAGCAAUAAGGUAACUCUUGCUUUUCAGGCAUGAAAAGAGGUAGAAGAUACCAGGGCAAGUGCCAUCUACUACAGAAGAAUAAUGAGUUUCUGGAAAGAAUAAGCCACAAGUCCAGGUACUAGUGGGUCUUCCUAUCCUGUUCUAACAUGAAGACCUAGGUACAUCUGAGUACAUGGAGAUACAAAACCCCAGGAAGGAGAUUUAUUGGGGCCUAUAUUGUAACCUGAUGACCUGACAGGAUACCUAUGAUCAGGACCCAGGACACCACCAGUCAUAAACUUAUAUCUUAAAAACUAUGGAUGAGAUAAGGAAUCCCAGACCUGGACUAUCCAUGCUUGGAGAGACUUGAGAUGAUUUGGUGGUCAGUCACUUAGGCCUCAACUUUGCACAACUGUGAUGUUCCAGCCCCCACCUGAUCAACCCAAGGAGGGGGAGGAGGUUAGACCCUCUGGAUUCAACUACAUAAUAUAGAUGCUGAGGGAAUUUCUUUGCUACAGACUAGGUGACAUCUUGGAAACUAAACCAUCAAGGAUCACUCACAAGGACUUCCAUGCACCAAUUAUUAUAUGUAAGGACUUUCUAGUGUUUCCCGCUGAGAACGGGGGUAGGAGCGACAAGAUUCAUCCAGCAUAUCAAUGAAUCCCAUCCUGGAGAGAACUUGCCCUUCCGCUUCACGGCCUUAGAACGAGUUGAACAUGCGCAGAAUGGGAUGGAUAAAGAAGCUGUUCUGUGCAGGAAAGAGGCGAGGUGGAUAUUAAGGCUGGAGGCUAUGGGACAUGUAGGUCUUAAUGAUAAGACGGAAUUGAAUAUACUGUUAUAAUUAUUGUUAUCUCUCUGCUGCUAUUGUUUUUAAGGUAUGUUUUAGUUUUUCACAUGGUAAUUGUUUUGUAUAUGUGAUCACUAUGGUAACCGAGGUCAGGGGUUCUGACAUCAGGACCAGUUGAAGCGUCAGAGCACGCAAAACGGUUCCGUUGUCCAGAAGCACCCCUGCUUGUCUAUCUGUUGUCUCCCUGCAGUGUCACCCGGUGAAUAAAGUCGUUUGAAGCAUCUUGGUGAGUGCCACGAUCUUUUUUUCUUCUCCUUGGAGCAUAUUUAUCCUAUUUUAGUUUCCUGAAUUGUUCUGAAUGUAUUUUUGUACAUAGCACAGUAACACCUUUUAGAUUAAAUGUUAAAUUAAUCACCUUGGGUCUUUGAUCCCUAAAUAUAUGAGAUCAUCUUUCUGAAGGAUGCUCUGGUUAAACACAUUUAUCAAAGGUAGAAAUCUAUCGGGCAUCUGUAGCUCACUCAAAUAAGCUAUCCUGAGGUUAACUGGAAUCGUCUAAAUCCCAGAAAGACCUAGUUAAUGGACAAUGUGUAUAUAAUAGAUCUUAUAUGACCAGUCCUCAAAGGACAGUAGAGAAAAGAAAUGAAAUAGAGAGAAAUAAAAGAAAAAAGAGGGAAAGGAAAAAAGAAUAGAAAAAAUAGGAUAAAUAGAAAAAGUAGAGAAAAUAGCUUACUCAAUAUAAAUAGUAGAAAUAUAGAAGACCUGAAUCUGGGUUGAGAAUAAUAUGAACAAUAUUUAAUAAUACUUAAUAUAUAUCACAACUCACAUCUGGCCAGGGCCCUUGCACCAGAUGUUAACAUAGAAUAACCAUAAGAAUAGAUAAAACAAAUGGAUAAAACAAUUACCUAAAAGAUGAAUGUAAAAAUGGCCUGAAAAUGUCCGUUAUAUAGAAAAAAACUGUAAAUGUCCGUAUAUAAGAAAGUUCAGUGAUAUCACGGUAAAUUGCAGUGAGAUAAGUUCAGGGAGCGGUAAUUUGCGAUGUACUAAGUAUAUUCGAUAGUAUUCGAUAGUACCUGUAAGCCGGGAUGUAAUUCACUUACUGACAGUAUGCGUCCGGCAUCCUUGAGACUGUCAGUCUCAGAGUGAGGGCAGGUAUCGGCGCUGGCAUGGAGUGGCGUCCGGCCUCCGUACAGGUAUGCAGUCUCGGUGAAGUAGAUGAUCCCGGCAAUGUGCAGGCUGGCACGGAGGGAGUCCGGCCAAUUGAGGUAGAUGUAACAAGAUGAUAGAUAAACCGAAAUCCCUGGUGUCCUCUUGUAGUGGCGGAAAGAGGAUCACGCGCGCGAUCAGCAGUGGUCCAAUAAAUGGGGUACUGCAGCGCUGCCCAGACCAAAAGCAGGCUAUAAAAGUCAUAUAAAGGUGUUUUUUAUAGAUAGUUGAUUAAAAUGUAAGGCUAUACGUGUUUCAAGACGACUGUCUCAUUCCUCAGUAGCCAUAAAAAAGUAUAUCCAUUUUUUAUAUAUAGCGCUCACGGCCAGUGUGUCUGGCCGGAGCGCUGGAUGUGACAGUAAGAAAUGUGAUCAGCACCAUAUUUAUCACAAACCCGGCACCAUGUAAUGAAUUAGGUGAAUGGGGUUGAUUCUGUAUGUGCACAUGGGUUUCCACACGCCCCGUUCAAAUGAAUAAUGUUCUUUUUAUAGAGUCUUUGUGGUGUACGUCUGACUAUGUGUUGGAAAAAUGGCAUUUAAUGUUAAUUUUAUUAUGUGUGUACAAUUACAGUGAUGCUCAAUUUGUAUAAUUUUUAUCAAGUAAAAAAAAAUUACUUUACAACACAAUAUUCUGACCUCUGUUGUUUUGUGCGAAAAUCUGUAGUUUGUUUGGGGGUGUUUGUAUCAUUUUUGGGUAGAUCAGACUUUGGGAUUCCUUUUUAUACAGUGUUUUGUGACAUGUGAGAUGACAAUGUUGACAGAUAUGUUUAUAAUUAGAUUUUUUUUUUAGUUCCUUAGGGAACUUGUACAGUGUCCCCCAAGGGGCACAAUGAAGCACCCAGGGCACGACACGGUCCGUUGCAUCAGAACACCCCCACUUUCUGUUUUGCCCAUCUCCUUUGCGCUGUAUCUGAGAUGAAAUAAAGGAGAACCCUUUUAUAAUUCUACAUAUGGUCCAUCUUUUCUUUUUUCUGGACGUGUUGCU